rnacentral:rRNA from 1 species
GCUUAUGGCCACACCGCCUGGUUCACGUCCGAUCUCGUUUGAUCUCGGAAGCUAAAAUAGGUUGGGCCUGGUUAGUACUUGCAUGGGAGACUGCCUGGGAAUACCAGGUGCUGUAAGUU